GCUUCAAACAUGUUUUUAGGGGCAAACCUAAUAAGCGACACUUGCUGACGGAGGGGUGGAAGGACUUUGCUAAGUCAAAAAAGCUAGAAAAAGGUGAUGAGUUAAUCUUCUUAAGGGGAGAAACAGGACAACUUCUGAUUGGUUUAAAGAAGCUCAAAGACACAGAUGACAAAUUUUCUGUGAUAUCUUUGGAAAACAAAUGUGUUGGGGCUUUGACUAGAGCUCAUAUGGCCAUCGAUAGGGGAACUUCCUUUUCUUUCAACUACAAGCCUAGGUUUUAUGCUUUCAUUCAAUUGUGCAAAGCAAGCUAAGUUUGGAUUUUGUGGCAUUGGUUGGUUAAUUUACUGCAUGUUCUACUCAUCUAUAAUUGCAUGCAACAUUCCAACAAUGGCAACAUUUUGAGUCUAGUGGCUUUUGAUAGAAUAAGCACAUGACAAAAAACCACUAAUCAUAUACAGAGAUUUCUUUGUGUUGAAAGAAUCUUCCAAAUAUAUGGUGGCAUCGUUUGGGAAUGAUAAUGUAACUUAGGGACUUCAUUUAACAUUUUCUAAAAUCCCUCUUGACUUGAGAUGUCACUGUUAUGUGAAUGUGUCUUCAACAAUGUGUUUUUUUUUUUUUUUAAUAAUAUUUCAAUGAAUUGUCAUGUGAAGUUCAAGUGGUCUUCCUUAUUGAGCUUUUCGAGUUUGUAACAUACUUUUAAUUGAUUUUUGGAGUUCUUAUUUAGCAUAUUCAGAAAAAUUAUAAUUCAUUUUGUUUUCCUUAUUACUGCAACUUGUUUACUUGUUUUUUGCUUUGCUUACAUUUUUAAUAGAGUUUGGUACUUUUGUUAAGAAAGAAUUGCUCUUUUUCAGGGCAAAUAGGUGUGAGUUCAUGGUAAAUGUCAACAAGUACCUCGAAGCUCAAAAUCACAACUUAUCUAUUGGGACUAGGUUUUCAAUGAGAUUUGAGGUUGGGAAAGUUCAUAAAAGGUAUCAUCUUAUAUUCAGUUUGUUUUGUUCUAGAAGCUGAAAACAACUUUUUUUGAUAGUUAUAUUUAUCAAAUUUCAGCUUCAUUGGCACUAUUGCUGGUUUUGAUGAUAAUGAAUCAUCAAGAUGGGUUAGUUCCCAGUGGAGAUCGAUAAAGGUUAAUGUUUAUCUUUAAUAGUUACGUUGUUUUGGAUUAAUCUUGGUUUCUACAUUCAUGCCUAUUGCCCAACUUUUUUUUUUUUUCCUUUAAUGACUUUGUUAUUCUAGCACAUUGUAAUUGCAACUUUAUCUUUUGUUUGAUUAAACAUAUUAUACUUACUUAUUGGAGGUUAAAAUUUCUCAUAUCUUCUAUUGUGGUUAUAUCGUUGAUAGGUUAAUUGGGAUAAAGCUUCACCUUUCCUUCCAAGAAGAGUGUCACCAUGGGAAUUGGAACCAACUUCAAACUCUCAAAUUAUUCAAAGUAGCAAGCGAGCACUACAUACUGUUGGCUUUGCUCAGCAUAUUUCCUGCCAGAGGCGUAGGAUAGAAGGAGAACUUAAUAAGAGUUGUUCUUGUAUUAACAAGGUGGAGUCAAGCUAUGAUGAUGAUACUAGUGGAGCUAACAAGGAGGGGAAUAUUGAGGGGAGCACCAAAAGAAAUGAAUCUGGUAAUAUUGAGUGCCCUGACAGUGAGCUUGAUAAACUUCAUUCGAAUUUUUGUUGGGAACAAAAUUCACCUGGCCUUUCUCCAACAGAGUUUGGAAAUUUGUCACCUGAUCUUAGGGAGUUCAGAAAUUCACCCCCUCUUGUUUUUCAGUCUAAUGAGUGUACGACUCUUCCUUUAACAGAAUUUGAGAUUUCUCUGCAGCCACCUCAAGUUGCAAGCACAUCUCAAGGAAGCUUGAUUAGAACUUUUCAAGAAAGUUGUGGUCCAGCUGAAAGAAAUAGAUUUGGGAAUAUUGAGUGCCCUCAUGAAUUUGAUAUGGAUAAUUUCUGUUGGGCACAAAAUUCACCCAGUCUUCCUCUUGUUGACAGAACUCGUCCUCCAACUGAAAUUUCAUGUCAGCAGCCUCAACUUGCAAGGACAUCUCAAGGACACAUGAUUGGAACUUCUUAUAAUAUGGAUUGUAAAGUGGAUUUUCACAGUUUUCGUAUAUCGAGCCAUGUUAUCCCUUACCUGGAAAGUAUCUAUUCGAAAAUAGGUAACUUUUGGAGGGAAUCCGAGGUAGAGAGUGCAUCUAUAAUGGAAGCUACUUUGGAGGAACUUGGAAAGGCACUGUACCUGAUGAUGAAAGAUGGAAACUUGGUGUCAUUGAAUACAGAAGAAUUAAAGACGAUAAAAUCUAAGAUAAAGGAUGCUACAGUGGUUGGGUUCAAGUUGGAUUGCCUGCAAUCUAUUGUAAGGAAAGCAGAGGCAGUAUUGAGAGCAAAGGACCAGUGUCAUUCUUUGGAGGAGCAGAAGUCUUCUCUAGAAUCUCAACUGCGAGGGGUAGAAUCUGAACAUCAGAAUGCAGAGGGUGAGCUAAAAAAUUGUCAACAAGAGCUUGGAUCUCUAGUAUCUGACAUUUUCCUUAGUUUCAUAUGACAUUUUCUUUCUUAGUAUUUGUAACAUCUUUGGAUUCUGAAGAUUAAAUUGUAGCAUUCAGAGUCAACCGCGCUAAAAGAAGAAUCAUGCAGAGGAUUUUCUGAUGGAAGGAUUAUAAAGCAUUUUACAUUGCACCCUAUUUAGAAAAUUGCAGCUCCCAUAAAGAUAUGAAGUUCGUGUAUUUGGAUGUUG
rnacentral:misc_RNA from 1 species